AUAGUCAAGUUACACAAAAAUGUACAUGUACAUGAUGUAGUAAUAAGUGCAAUUGAUAAAUAAACAAGUUCUUUGCAAAUGCUUUAAAAAAAGAUGGUAACUACAAAAGACAGUUAUUAGAACUAAAGCCAGUGAUAUAAGACAAGACAGAUUGACAUGUUAAAUAUUACCAAGAAUAUCUUGCAAGUUGGAGAUGAGGCAAAACAGAAGAACUUUAUUCAUAAUUCAGAGACUAAAAGAUUUAGUUGAUGAACUGUCAUGCAGUGAAAGUCAUCAAAAUAUCUGAGGAGAAAACAACUCUCAGCAACAAUCAAACUGGCUGUAGAAGCUGCACACUGUAUAACAAAGAUAUUUUACUGCACAAAUUUGUCAACGUAGGUGACACAGUGUAUUGAGUACUGACAGGUUCUUAUGUUCAGUAUCUUUCAAAAAUUUCAGGAUUGGAAGGAAUUUGAAAAAUUUGUAAAGACUUUAAGAUGGAAUUUCCAGUCACCAGAAGCUGUUGUACAGAAUUGUCAACAAAACAGAAAUGGGAAUUGAUCUUCAAUUUACUCUUCCUAUAAAAACAUGUAUAUAGAUAAUUUUUGAUUGGUUAACUUAAGAAGAUGUUCCAAUGAUAAAUCAAUACAUUUAGCAAAAUUAUGAAAUACAAGAAAAAUUAAUGAAGAGAAAAAGAUAUUUAUCAGAUAAGAAAAUAAGAUCAAACAAAUAUUGAAUAUUUUGUAAAAUUAAAGUACUAGGUUUAUAAUCUUAAUUACAUUAAAGGCCCAUUAAGCCUGGAUAAUGCUAUCGUUUUUAUUUUUCAAAAACUUUUUACUUUUGGUGUUUCCAAAAUAUUUCUCUUUGGUUAUAUACCCAAGCCAUCUUUUGCAUUUGAAUAAAUUCUGUUGUAUGGUUUCAUUCUGCUAUAUGUCUAUAUUUGACCCUAGCAUAUGCCUUUUAAAUUGUUAAUUAUCAGUUCAGAUAUUCUAAGGGAGGCAUCUGGUUAGCUCAAUAGGUAGAGCGUAGGACUGUGAUACGGGAGACCAGGGUUUGAUUCCCGGACGGCACAGGUCACUGUUGUUGUGAUUGAUUAUGAAAUCCUUUCUAUGGUCAUUCGCACUGUACCUGUGCUCCUGAAUGUACAGAAGUAAUCAGUUCCUUGCAUGAUAGAAGGCAACUAGUACUGGUAAACUGCUUGACAGCCUGCCAAGGAAUGAUGUGGUGGCUGAACUGUUCUCUGGUAAAUUCAAUGUGGCUUACUGCCGUGAUCCUGAGUGAAAACUACCAACACCACCACCACAGAUGUUCUAAGAACUUUAAGCUUUAAUUUAGAACUUUUAAACUUGCUCAUAAUUUUAACAUUAUAUAAUGUUUAAGGUCCAUUGUGCCUUAAAAUACUAUUAUUUUCAUAUCACAGUAACUUAAUUUUGGCAUCCUAUUAACAGUUAUAAUGAAUUAGUACUUUGUAUAUGGAAGUCAAAACAGCACUUUGUUUAUAUUUUGCUAUCUUUAUCGCAAAUUAUUUCUUAGUCAACACUUAUAAUUUUUUACAUGUAAAACUAAGCAUCUUACAUGCUUUAAAUCUGUAAUAACAAUAUUAUAAAACACAUGUUUGCCCUUUCUACAGAGAGAAUAACAGUAUUAUUCCUUUUUGAGGCAUUUUGUGCCUUUAAAGCUGCAUGCCUCCAGAUGAGCCAAAAUAUUUCAAUAAAAUCACACUUGAGAAAUAUGUACUAAGAUUGUAAGAAAAGUAAAAAUAUUGAAGAUUUUAAAUUUUUAAUUUUAAUUUUAAAUAAUUAAGAUUUUCUUUCAUUAAUAUUAAUACUUUAUAUUUAAUAUGUUUCAUUACUUGAGAGUAACUGUUCAUGUUCAAAGUUCAAAUAUUACUUCCCUUUGGGCCGAGAACGCCACUUGCAAUAAGCAUUCAGCAAAACUUCUGACAGUAACUUUAGAUAUACAAUUACAUAGCAAAAACAACACAGAUGAUAAAAAUACAAACUUGAUGAUGUUAAAUUAUUAUCUUUAAAAUUAUCAUUUGAUAUUCAAAUUAAUACAGUGUUAUGUAGGUACUGGUACAGCACCUUAAAUUAUCUUUUAUUAGAAGAUUUAACAAAGCUGUUCUAUUCCAUGGUGGCAUAAGUUAAACUUCUGUACCUAAUUAUGGGCAUGAGCAUUGGCACAAACAAUUUGGAUUUUUAAAGACUUUUUAUGAUAAAAUAAUACAAAAUGAUAAUCACUUUCAAUAAAAAAUUUACAAUAAAUACAUCAGUUUUUGAGGAUUAAUGUUUUUGAAUUUUUGAAUGUUUGCUUUUUGAUUUUUUUCUUCAGAGCAUUAUUUCAUUGGCUUGUCUUUUUUUGCUUUGAUUCUUUUUUUAAAUUUUUAAAUUCCAGCUGCCUUUAUAGAAGUCAUUUUAACAUGUUCUCACUGCAUUUUCACUUGUUUAAUAAUAAAUAACCUUAAUAUGUGUGUAUUCUCAGUGCUAACAACAUAACAUUAUAUAACUAUUGGUCAAAUGAAUUUUAUAAGGCAACUGAAGCACAAAAAUAUAUUUUAUAAAACUAAUUAGCAUACUCUGACAAGCUUUAGAAAUUUAUCUGAAAAUUGUCAAAAACAGAAAAAAAAAUAUAAUAAUAAGAAAAAAAAAACAAGGAAGAAAGGUUGUUUUACCAGUACUUUAACAUUAUAAAAAAAUUACUUUUGACAAAAUAUUAUACUAAAAGCUUUGUCAUGUUGUAGUUACUCUCAAUGUUCUUAUAGAAAUGUUACAAAUGUAGGUAAAGUGCAGACCAAGAUUUGAGGACACUAGAUGUUUCAUCUGGUCUUAUC